GGUGAAAUAGUACGGCCUAGGUUCGAUGCUUGAAGCAUUGGGAUGAUUAGGAACGCUGGGUUCAAGCCCAUUUUCGCCGC
rnacentral:tRNA from 1 species